UCGUGCUCUCUCUCUCAAAAAUAAUAAACAUUUAAAAAAAAUAAUAGUCCCUGGCAAAUAACAGGUACUCAAUAAAUAUUUGCUGAAAGAAUAAGUAAACCAAGAAAUACCUAUGUCUACACUAAGAUGUGUCCCAAACGCCACUGAAGAAAGUGUCUUAAGAGGUGAGAGUGACCAACUGUGGCAAAUGAUGAUGAUAAAUCAAAAGAUGAGAACAGAGAACCAGCCACUGAAUGUGGCAAUGUGGACAUCAUUGGUGACCCUGACAAGAGCUGCUACGGUGAAACAGAGAAGAGCCAGGACUCAAUGGCAGAAAAAGAACUGAAGAUAGCGAGUACAAAUACUCUUUCAAAUAUUCUCUCUUAACACGAGACCACUGCAUAUGAUAUUACCUAUUUCCAUAAUGCUACACCUUCACUCAUUUCUUCUGAUGACAUGUCCUCCUGUUUUCCUUAAAGACCCAGUUUAGGUAAUAUAUUCACUAGGAAACAUCACUGUGAACUGUUAUGUCCCCAUGUGCAUACCAGAUUACAGGUACACCAAUGCUACCCCUAGUACACAUAGUAUUUUAAGUAAUUCUUUAAUUGACUGUGUCUUUAAACUCUAUCUUAAGACAGGACCUUUACACAAAACUAAUGCUCAAUAAAUACAGGUACUUCCGCUUUUUGAAAGUUCAUAUUCCACCACCUCUCUCUCACAAAAGACCUACACUAGUACCUGUUUCCGCUAACUGAAGAAAUCCGAAAAGGAGUUCAGCUUUUACAAAAAAGGCAAGAAGCAAAACAGCAUUCAGUGUUUGUUUUACUGCAAGCUGUUACAGAGCAUGUACCCCAACCAGGGAGAGUGGCUCCACCAAGCUCCUUGCUUGGAACUACAUUCAGCAUCCUAGCAUCAAGCUGUCAUAGUUCUGAACUGUGACUGGGAGCAUUUGUGCUUUAUAUCUCAAUUUAUCUUGUGCAUCCAUUAGCAAGAUGUGUCCCAAGCACAGAAAAGCAAAGAGAAGUUAUUCUCUUUGCUUCAGAAAAGCAAAGAGAAGUUAUUUUUGGGAUCUAGGAAUGCACAAAAAUUUUUCCAUAUAAAUGAAUGGUGACUGCUUCUUCACUUUAUGUCAUUCUGGCUUAUAAAAGGUUUCAUAGGAACAUGCUACUUUCAGAUAGCAGAGGAAACCUGUAUUUCUUUGAGGUGUGAAAAGGCCUUGAACAGUAAGUUCUUAAUAGUUCUAAGAAUUUGUUAUUCCAUGUUUUCCUUAAUUUACAUCCAAAAUAUAUUUUGUUAGUUCCCUGCAUAUUCAAUGAGGCAUUAUAAAACAAUAGUUAUUAUAAUGCAAACCUAAAAAUCUGACUUUUCCCUUAAGUAAACAAUAAAGAUACAUUUAAUUUACAUUUAUGAUAUCUUGAACUGUUAUUCCAGAUAAUUCUUUUUAAUUUUUUUUCAU